rnacentral:tRNA from 1 species
UAUAUUUUAGUAUAAGGGGUACAUAAGUUUUUGAUACUUAAAGAAAUUGUUUAAUUCAAUUAAAUAUAA